rnacentral:sRNA from 1 species
AGCCAGGUGGCAAAUGUGUAUUGUGUGUAAAUAAAAAUUAAAUUCGACGAAAAUUCAACUGGAAAUUUACACAAACAUCUUAAGAGGGUGCAUCCAAACAGCUACGCGUCAUAUGAGGCCAUGAAAUCAAAUGUGGCAAAAAAGGAAGAGAAUAAAUUAUCAGAGCCUAAGCAAGCAAAUUUUUUCUGUUUCCAAAGUUCAAGCAAGCUAAACAACAAAAUUUGCGACUAUAUUAUCGCUGAAAUACGUAUUCGAAACCUUAGUUAUGCUUAAAAAACCCAUUAAUUAAGUAAGUUAAUCAUACUAUAAAAGUUUUUGUAAGUUUAAAUAUGAACUGUUAUUUUAUUUUAAAAAAGUA